UUGGGAGGGGAACAACAACUGGAAACGGUUGCUAAUACCCCGUAGAGCACCGUCGUGACCCACUGGUGCUCCCCAGCCUGCCCAAUUUCGUUCUCGUGCAACGGAAUGACCGGACCACUACACCGGUGAGCUCGAACUCCCACCGCCGCUCGGCUUCGCCGUCAUCCCGUCGAUCCACUGCCUCCUAGCCCUGGCCAAGCACACCACCAGCACCACAUCAUCACGUGGAAGCUGUCUAGCCACUUCCCCGCCGCCCUCCUGCCCUCCGGCCACCGGAACGCCAACGACGUCCCUCGGACCUCCGCCGUCCACCCCUUUCGUCGUUGUUACGCCGCCUUGGCCCCUCUCUUCCCCGACACCGGCCACCCCCGUGACCUCCGUGUGUCCCGGAACAUUUCCCCUCACUUGCCCCUUGCCGCCGGUGAGCCCCCUCGCCGGAAUUCGAUCGGCCAGGGACCCAAUUGCAACAAUUCAAAACUUUCCAGGGCCCUAUCUGUAGGAAAUCAGAAUCCCCCCUAUUCAAAUCAGCCAACUUGUAAAAUCCCUAGGAAAUUGUAGAAAAAUCCAAAAAUGGCCAAAAAAAUUUUGUUAUACUCCUGAAAUCUAGCUCUACAACCUGGGAUAACCGCGCAACCACAGGACUGGAAUGGGACGGUCUUGACUUACUAAUUAGGUUAUUUUGGUUCGGGAGUAACCUACUUGCGGGGCAAGAGGGGUGGUAAGCUUCAAUGGUCCCUGCUCCUCCGGCUUGGUCUGUGCUGUGUGCUUGUACCCCCGUGAGGUGGGCCCCAUCGUUGCUGAUCCAGAAACCUUAGCGGUUACACCUUACUAACAUGAUCCUUUGUAACGGUCUCGUAGUGUGCUUGCUAGUCAUCUCACCUAAGGAAGUGUGAUGAACAACUAGCGUAGCUCACGACUUGUGGGUAAAGUUGUGCAACCUCUCGAGAGUGUAAAACUGGUAUACUAGCUGUGCUCACGGUCAUGAGCGGCCCAGAUCCUCCGUCUAAUUAGGGGGGUUUACCUUGGUGGUUUGGCUUGGUUUUCAGUAGUCUCAUGAUUAAUUUUGAUUAAUUAUUAUGUAACUUGGGUUAUGGUAAUUCAUCCACUUGUAGUAAAUAGCUUUAAUAAAAUUUGCCAAGAUUAAAAGCUAAUGCACUUGAGUCAGCUAACCAUAGAGCCUCAUAGUUUGUGUUAUACUUGUUGAGUACAAGUUGUGUACUCACACUUGCCUUCUCUACUCUUCUGUUCUCUUUGGGAUAUCUUCGACUGCUGCUCAGUACCAGGCGACGUGGAGAACUACAUCAGUGGACUCGACGAUUUCUAGGCAUUGUCUCCCAGUUGACGUCCCUGUGGCGCCCUAUUAUUCAUGUAUUUAUUUUACACUUCCGCAUUCCUUGAACUGAUUCUUGAUUCAGUUGUAAUAAAGAUAUUCAUUUAUAAUUUAUACGCUUUUAUUACGAGAUACGUGUUGUGAUAUCUUGAUGAUUCUGUUGUAUAUAUGCGUGACUUGAUCCUGGCACAUAUAUGAUUGCUCGAUUUAUGUUCUUAUAAAUUGGGUGUGACAAUGCAGCAUGUUUAAAGUAUAUGUAAGAUUGUGUAAAAAAUUCACUUUAAUUUUUGUACUCUAGCUUGAACUAAUUUGAAUUUAUACAAAUCAAGCUUGAAAGGGGGUUUAAAUUUAAUUAAGCAUGUCGCUUAGGUUUUCAUGCUCAGAUCAUUUUACCAUGUGAUGAUCUGUAUUUGGGUAGCUCAUAAUAAAUAUUUCAAGAAAUUAUAGCACUGUUUUACCUAAGCUUUGAAUUUAAACUUGACAUUUGAACUAAAUUCAAAUGGUUUAGUAAUUGUUUUUAGAAAAAUUUUGAGAAAUUCAUAGUAAAGUCAUCCAUUAGGAAUAAGUUUAUCCACAAAAAUUAAAGACCAUAUCCUUUAAGGAUUUCAAAUUAAAAAUCAAACUUACCACCUAAUACAAUUAAUUCAACUAAUUAGGGUAAUUGAGUUAGGAUAUCAAUAGUAGGUUUAUAUUUUAACCUCUUGCUUUAUGAGUUUAUGUGUAUUAAUCUGUUGGAUUGCAACUUUAUCAUGAAAUAAAACUCUUAACUCGAGAACCAUCUAAAUCAAAUCAUUGUAUAUCAUGUAGAGUCAACGACACUCGACGACGGAGACUACGAGCUAGUCCCGGAAACUGAGCAAGGGAUUUCUGAAGAUCCUGCAAACAUCGUCGAGACUCUAACUGAAGCUCUAAACCAAAGUUCAGAAAUCUUUGACACUCCUGCCCCCAGCCCCGCUCAAGAAGGCAAGCCCCGAUGCAUAACCCAAUAUUUGAAAUUACUUCAUUUAUACAGUUUUAUACUUAUAUAUCUAUAUUAUGCAUUAGGUCUAGGAGUUGAAAUGGAACCCUAGAUGCAUGGAUCUUAGGAACCAAUGUAUUGUACCUAAGUCCGUAUCGAAUAGAUGCUCUGCUAAUAGGACUGGCAGAAGUCGGGUGAUUUCCGGUCACUCGCGCGAUACAGGAGUUGAAUGUUUACUAUUCUGCAAUCACUGUAAGGAUGAUGGACGGGGUCAUGUGCAGUAUCAUGACUCGGAAGGUUACCCCAUCUGUGUUGAUAAAAGUUGAUAAGAUCGCCGUGUGUGGUAGUGGUGGCUAAGCGUUUGAAAGUACUAGCCACAUGCCGCGAAAUAUGGUAAAGCGGUAAGCCUAGUAACCAAUCGGCCCAAGGAGUGGACAUACCUCCCACCACUCGUAAUUUGGUUUUUCUCACGCACCGAUGUGCGGGAGUAUGUUCCACGCAGCGGGCAGGAGUACGGUCAUGUAGUCGCGCUACAGACGUAUGUCCUGCACAAUUGGUGUGUGUACGGUCCUACAGUCGCUUGUGGUGGCCCUGUUCCACGAGUCAGACUGAAAGGCAAAUGGUUGCUUCGGAACUACCAUUGGAUAUUCCAAGCGUGUGAGUUAGGUUUACCCAUGCAAGGUUUGAAAAUUCGAUUAAGAAUAGUUCGUUUCUCGCGGAGAUUGAGACUGCUUAUUCCUUCUGCCACAUAGAGUAAGAACAGUAACCAUUGCUGGAACAAUCUGGAUGAAUGCUAAUCUCUACCUUUCUUGUGUAGUAUAGGUGCUUACCUAGAAAGGUUAAUAAAACUAGAAUUUGAAAGCUAAAAUAUAAAAGUUAGAUCAUACUCUUUGUUGCUUUUCAGCAAAAGAAAACCAGAGCCUCUCAAAUCCUCCAUGGUCUAGUUAUGGGCUAAGUAUACCCGAUUCCGGAUAAGUCUUGCUGAGUAUUAGCAUACUUAGUCUUGCUAGUCUAUUUUUCAGGUAUGACCUUCGAAAACCCCACGGGUAGUCCAGCAUUGCCAACCUCUGUUCCAUUUGGCCGGUCCGUGGAGUGGGAUCCGUCCCCGGCUGGCAGUGACCCUCCGGAGUGACACCAUGUUUCGGGCUGAACUUGGUGUCAACCUUCGCGACGUGUGUAGUCGCGUUUUAAUUUCUUCCGCUGUAACUCUACACAAGGUUGCAUAGCUUGUGGUUUGAACAAUGUUUGUAUAAGUAUACUUAAGUUGGAAAUGAUUUGUAAUAAUAUUUAAUAUUCUGUAAAUUAAAAGUUGGUGAGCUAUUGUGCGAUUGUAAACUCAGCUUCGUGCGAGGUAAACCUGCUUCGAUCCUGUUGAACCGUGGUUGCAUCAGGCAGAGACCCGACAGACCAAUGCGUUGUUCCAUUUGAAGUGCGUUGAGUUAGUAUAGGCUGUAUAGCGCUGACUAGCGUACUUGAGCCGGAAUAAUUCAGGCGGUUCAGCCACAGGUUGGGGGGGUGAGCCACCUCUACAAGCAGAUUUACAAGUGUGGCUCACCCCCAUCCUGACUCUAAAAAUAUCUAUAAAAAUCUGGGCACCUUCUUCCUUCUCUAGACCCCAUUGUUUGCUCGGGAGAGGAGCUCCACCAAGAGCCAAAAAAAGAAAAGGGGGGAGGGCUUUUCAACUUGAUUUCCUUCGAGUUGGGGGCUCUAGGAGGUAAGUUGACGCUAAUUCCUUAUCAUUUCUAAGCUCUUUUGUUAGAUUUAUGGCUCAAAUGCUCUUUGCCUCUAACUAGCUCAGAUCUCCAUGGUGUGGAUUAGCCAUUUGAGACACCAUUUGCCUCGAACUUUUGGAUGAAGUUGUGCUAUUUUAGUAGGAGAACAAGAUUAUAUAAUCAUUUUAACUCGAUCUAUAGUUUUUAGUAUCAUUCUUAAAUAAAUAAUGCCCUAGAUCUAUGGAGAAGAGAGAACAAGAUUUAUAUUUUUCCUACUUUCAAAGAUGCAUGUUAGAUUUUUUCCAACAAUUAGUGGUAAAAUAAUAUGUUGAUUUUUUUAUUGUUUUUAUUUAGUACAAGUUAAAUUGAUUUUUUCCACACCUAUGCAUAUAUAGAAGUAUAUAUUUAUAUCAAUUUAGAGCUCCAUUUCUUUUGAGAAAAAGAUUUGAUUUUUUUCUAUAUUUACAUACAUGCAUGUUACAUUUUUUUCCUAGUAUUUAGUUGUACAAUAAUAGGUUGAAAAUUGAUUUUUUUUAUUUAGUAUUAUUUAAAUUGACUUUUUACAACACCUAUACAUAUAUAGAAUUAUAUAUUUAUGUGAAUUUAGGACUCUUUUUCUUGUGAGAAAAUAAUUUGAUUUAAUUUUUUCUAUCUUUUCAAUUAUGGAUAGGACAUGGAUUUAAAAUGCAAAAAGGACGGACGCCUAUUUCCGUGGAGAGCUUAAUAAAUUCAUUCAAAUUGCAGAGAACCACGCAAGAAAUAAGAAGACACGAUUGAUGCAUUGCCCAUGCAAUGCUUGCAAGAAUUUGAGAGUAUCCAGCGAUCCAACUAUAAUCAGAUCGCAUGUGAUGGUGAGUGGUUUUGUUAAGGACUACAAGAUCUGGAAGUAUCAUGGCGAGACGGAUACUCCCCCUCUGACGAAUAAUCCACUGGAUGAAAUCAUACAAGAUGAGGAGUUUGACAGAAUGAUUCAGUCUUAUUUUGAUGGUGGUGGGGAUGAUGAUGGUGAUGAUGAUGAUGAUGAUGGGGUUGCUGAUGAUGAUGGGGUUGGUGGAUUCCAAGAUGAUGAUGUUGACGGUCCUAUGGAUGGUGAUAGUAGUGGCGAUGAACUUGAUGAUGGUAAUUUUCUCAGCCAGUUGUUGCGCCACACCGAAGUGGAGGUAUUGGUUGCUAGUGCUAGGGGGUUUGCAAACUUCGAGAUGGUGAGAAAAUCAGUAGAGGAAAAUAUAUAUGAUCUGCAGCAACAGAUGGUGGGCAUGCAACAUUUGGUACUUGGCCAAGCGAGUCCGGCAUGUGCACAGAGCAGUGCUGCCUCGACCACAGCUCAACAAUACCCGAUGGAUACCAUAAUGAGCAUUACUCCCUACUUGUUGCUCUAUCCGGUCAGCAGAGCUGGAAAGACACACAACUAGAUUUCCCCCCUAUAACCACAAAACAUUUAGGCAACACCACUGAUUUGGGUGCAAUAGGUGGGUACUAUGGCACCGAAAGAGUGAUUUGGUAGUAAUAUGCAUGCCUAUUACUACACAUAAAUUGUGUUGCGAUAUUUAUGUUUCGUGUUGCAACAGGGUGACCCUAAUGCACCUAUUUUUAGGAUUUGUGUUGCAAUUGGUUGGGAAUACUGCUACACCAAUUAUGAGUUGCAUUAGUACUUCGUGUGUUGCAAUAGAAAGGUGCUAUGGCGACCAUAUUAGCGUUGGUUGCUUCUGAACGGCAAUUUCGCAACCCUUGAUUUGUGUUGCAAAUUGCUUGGUGCGUUGUGGCAAUAGAUAGGUGGCUAUUGCAUCCUUUCUUGCCAUGAGAUGCAAUAGCAUGGACGUACUGCCACAAUUUUGCGUGGUUGUCCAACUAGUCGUAGUCGUUGCAACUGUAACAGACUUAUUGCAACCAAGUGUUCCUUGGUUGCACUUAAAUUUGUCUAUCACCAUGCUUUUUGUUCUUACAGGUGGGCCUCCACACAAGUGUUCCUUGGUUGCACUUAAACUGGAACAAAUCGUCAAACAAACUGGAACAAAUCAAUAGAUUGACUAGGACAAAUCGUCAAACGAACUGGAGAAGAGGGUGGCACCAGGCGAGGAGCUCGGAAGAGGCAGCGAGGCGGCGCCGGAUGACGAGAGCGGCGGCGGCGCUGUGGAGACGGGGCGGCGAGGCAGUGCCGAGUGACGCACGACAGCCAACAGAAGGCCCGUUGCGGUUGUCUUGAUCUCAUAUGCCUAUGUAUGUAUGUAGAUAUAUAUAUUUCCAUCAGGCCCAACAGAUCAAAAUCACAUAUGUAAUACAUCCUCUAGAUAUAAAUCAAAAAGAGAAAACAGAAAACAGGCCCAACAGAAGGUCCAGUCGGGAGUCCCCUUCGCCCAGAACCGCUCAACUAGCUUCCUUCCUCUACGAUCAAACAGAAACAUGCCGCUGCCCGCUCGACUCCACCAGACUAACACCGCCACUGCCUGCUGCCACCCAGGACUCCAUCUCCAUCCAUGCCAAGGGCUUAAUUGGAAUCAUCGCCCGCCGAGGAGUCUAAUUGAGUGUACUGCCGCUGGGUCGCCGUGCCCGAUCGCCGGUGAGAAUUCUAAAGAAUUUCUUCCUCAGUGGUUGCCCGGUCUUCGUACUCUUGCGCGCGAGACCAAUUCUAAGUAGAUACAUUGUUUGACUACUGUAGAAAAAAAUGCGUGUACUGUGUUUGUUUUGUUGCAUAAAUACUGUCUAUUCUUGAUUUAUUUCCUGAAGAAUACACACAGUAUUACCAACGCAAUUGUUAUCUGUGAACUGAAAAAGAAUUCCACCAACCUCUUCGAUAUUUCCAGCAUCUGGGAACUGAAGAAUUAUUUCCACGCACACACUAAUAAAGAACAAAGAUAGUAUUUCCACCAUUCUAUUCUUGAUUUAAUUAACUGAUCUAUGGUCUGAAACAUACUUGUGUUAUUCACGGAAGAUAAGUGCUCAUACUAGCGUGAUUUUAAUUUUUGGUCUGAAACAUGAUUUAGGUUGUGAUUUUUUUUACCAUUACAAAAUUCGAAUACCCAUGAUCCAAAUCCUGGACCCGCCACUGUAUAUCUCCCCUGCAUAUAUCCAUGCUAGAUCAUGAUCUCUCAUUGCAAACAUGCAUGCAGAUAAAUGGCAUCACACGCAGAUAGGAGUUGGAUGCGCUUGCCUCGACAUUCAGAGGUGUGGAAGGCGAAUUUCCGAAGUUUUAUUGAAAACUUUGGCACAUCAUCAUCGUGAUGAGCUGGUGGAUCUGUUGCGUGCCCAUGUGCUACAUGUCAAUUCAUGAUAAGAUAUCAUAACGUGUUUCAGAUUCAGCUUCCUUUAGUUACUAGAGGGUUUGCUGAUUGUUUCAUCAAUAAUGAAUUCGAAGGCCAAACUUGUUCAUCAGCUGAGGGUCGUGUGAAUCAUGGUGUCAAUCCUGGUCGCAACACUGGUAUAAGAGAACCUGAAGAUGCACAACCUACAGCUGACGCAGCACCUUAUUUUGGAGAAGAUGAUGAUGAAGACGCAGGUGAUAACCCUGCUGCCACUAAUACUCUGAUUAGAAACAUUAUCAGUGGCUCUAUACAUGGACAAAUCAUAGAUGCUGGUGAGAAACCAAAUAAGGAAGCAGAGAUAUUUUUGAAACUAUUAGAGGAGGCAAAGAAGGAAUUGUAUCCAGGAUGCAAAGAUGCAACUAAGGUCUCUUUUAUCGUGCAACUUUUUCAGAUAAAGUGCUUGUACAGAAUUAGUAACUCAGCAUUGGAGGCCAUACUUAAUCUGUUCUCAAAGGUUCUCGCUGAAGGCCAUUGUAUCCUUGACUCCUUGGAUAAAGUGCAAAGGGUGGUAUGAGACCUAGGCUUGGACUAUAUCAAGAUACACACAUGUAAGAAUGAUUGUGUGUUAUUUUUUAAGGAAAAUGCAAUGCUGGAGACAUGUCCCAUAUGUGGGGAGUCUAGGUGGAGAGUUGUAGAGAAAACCUUUGAUAAUGAGGUUGCGGAUGGUGCUACAGUUAAGAAGCGGUUUCCAGUGAAGAUACUACGCUACUUUCCUCUUAUUCCUCGGCUGCAAAGAAUGUACAUGUCAAAGCGGUUAUCAGAGGAAAUGCAAUGGCAUAAGAAAGAAUUGGUCAAAGAUAGAAAAAUGCAUCACCCUGCUGACUCAUUGGCAUGGAAGCACGUGAAUAAAGAAUAUAGAUGGUUUGCAAAAGAAGGUCGUAAUAUUAGGCUGGGUCUUGCUUCUGAUGGCUUCAAUCCCUUUGGGAUGCAAAAUGUUACAUACUCGAUAUGGCCUGUUAUCCUUAUACCUUACAAUUUGCCUCCAUGGUUGUGUCAGAAACAAUCUAACUGGUUGUUGUCAAUGUUGAUACCUGGUCCAAAAUCUCCUAGAAUGGACAUUGAUGUAUAUUUGAGGCCCCUUAUAUUAGAGCUCAAGGAGCUUUGGGAAAAGGGUGUUCCAACAUGGGAUGUACAGACUAGGAAGAAUUUUAAAUUACAUGCUCUUCUACUUUGGACAAUUAAUGACUUCCCAGCUUAUGCUAUGUUUUCUGGUUGGAGCACGAAAGGAAAGUUUGCAUGUCCAUACUGCCACAAAGAUACUGAGUAUUUAUGGUUGAAACAUGGGAAGAAGCACUGCUACAUGGGACAUCGACGUUUCUUGCCCUCAGACCAUCCAUGGCGCAACAACAAGGUCAGCUUCAACAAUGAGGUCGAAACCAGGGAGGCACCAGUACCACUGACAGGUGCACAGGUACUUGAGCAGUUUGAAAGUUUUGAACAAGUGAGAUUUGGAAAGAAGGCAUCAAAAAAAUGAAGCAUGACGAAGACCAAAGAUGGCACAACUGGAGGAAGAAGAGUAUUUUUUUUGAGCUCCCUUACUGGUCUUCUUUGCUCAUCAGGCAUAAUUUGGACAUCAUGCACAUUGAGAAAAAUAUAUGCGAGUGCAUAUUAGGCACUUGCUUGAAUUGGAAGGUAAAUGUAAGGACGGGGAGAAGGCCCGGCUUGACAUGGAGCAUCUACGGAUACGACAGAUCAGCAUCCUGUGUUUAGGAAUGAUAAGUAUACCUUGCUAGCAGCCUUGUACAAGUUAGAUAAGAAGGAUAAGGAAAAUUUAUGCAAAUUUCUAUAUGGAGUGAAGAUGCCUGAUGGGGUUUCCUCCAAUAUAAGAAGAUGUGUUGACCCAAACUCAUGUAAGGUGUCUGGCUUGAAAACUCAUGAUUACCAUCUAAUUCUACAGAAACUGUUACCCUUAGUAGUGCGUAGGAUUUUGCCAGAACAAGUUAUCCUCACAUUGAUUCAGCUUAGUAAUUUCUUCGAUGCACUAUGUUCCAAGGAGCUGGUGCAAGCAGAAUGGACAAACUUAGUAGUUCAAUUAGGGAGACUGUUUGUCGAUUUGAGAUGCUAUUUCCACCUUCAUUUUUUGAUAUCAUGAUGCAUUUGCCUAUUCAUCUGGCUGAAGAGGAUAAACUUGGCGGGCCUGUGUGUUAUAGAUGGAUGUAUCCAGUGGAGCGGUACCUAAGUAAUACGAAAGGAUAUGUGAGGAACAAGGCGUACCCUAAAGGUUCAAUAGCUGAGGGAUACAUACUCGAGGAGUGCCUUACAUUUUGCUCAAGAUUCUUGGACGUGGACACCAAACUGAAUCGUGUUGAUCGACAUGAAAGUAUUGCUGUGAAUGAGCCACCAUCUGGUCUGAGCAUAUUUGCUGACAUGGAUUACAAGAGGAGAGGACAGACUAUCCAGAUCAUUGAAGGAGAUGAAUGCGGAAGAUGAGGCACUACAUAAUUUCAAAUUGUGAUGAAGCUAGGCAAUGGGUCGAGUAAGUUACGUUACUGAACAUCAUUAUUUUUAAAUUUUAUAUUUUAAACUAACAGUAAUAUACAUUUCUAUGCAGUGCGCGUAUGGAAGAACUGAAGAAAUAUGGUUCAAGAAAUCUUAAAAGGCGACACAAGGAACAAUUUGUAAGAUGGUUCGAGGGCAAGAUCAGGGAGCUACAUGUGAAAGGGGAAGUAAGUUCAGAGAUGUUUGCACUUGCUCAAGGACCGGACGAUUGAGCUUGUACAUUGAAUAGAUGCCAUAUCAAUAAUUGGCUGUUUCAAUCCGUUGACAUUGAGAAAAGACUCGUAACACAAAAUAGUGGCGUGCUUGUCAAGGGCGAUGGUACUACUAGCAACAUGUACUGGUGUGGGGUGAUUAAAAGAAUGAUCUCACUAGAAUUCCCUGGACAAAAAGAAGUUAUUUUGUUCCAGUGUGACUGGUAUGAUGUGCCUGCUGCCACUACCAACAGAGGCAGAGGAUACAGUAAGGAUCAAUUUGGGGUUAUUGAUAUCGAUACUACUCGAUACAGGUAUAAGAAUGAACCCUAUAUUCUGGCAACACAGACAGAACAGGCGCACAUUUCAGGUGUGGCCGAACCCUGCAUUUGUUUGUAUAUGGCCACUGCCAACCAACCGGUGCUUCUAAUCAUCUUCGAAGUACCAGGUUUCAUAUAAUAUAACUAGUAAUAGUUGACAAUUUAACCUAACCAACUGCCCCUGCCAUCCUUUUUAUUAGCUACAAUCACAGACAAUAAUGUAAUAGAUUACUUCCAGAAAAUGAAAGAUCAUAUGGGAAAAUGAUUCUGCGUGACUUAUGCACAAGUUGUUGUUGUUUUAUGUUUUUCCAAAAAAGAAACUGAGCAUAUAUGUUCAUUAUUGAAUAUGAACUAUUAUUGCAAUUUGUCUUUAUAUUUUUUAGGUUACUUUACAUUUCAUCUCUCAUCACAGUAUUCGAUAUUUGUAUUUAUAUGCAGAACGGACGAUGAAUGGAUCAUGUAUGUCGUUUGCAAGGGGAGUGACGAGGGAGAAGAAUGUGACAGUUUAUGUACUUAUAAACUAGACAUAUUAACUGAUUAGUGUGAAAUAUGUGUUGUUAGUGUAAAGUUUGUGUAUGUAUGUGAAACUUUUAAAAAUUUAAAGUGCAAGUAAAAAGGGUAUUUUUAUAAUUACAGAAAAACCUAGGGUUGUUUUUGCAAAAUGUAUUUGGAUUGGGGUAACUUCAAAAUAAGUGAAGGGUGGUUUUGUAAACAUGCUUUUUCUUAUUUUAUCCCCUGUAAAAAUAUAUAUUAUCUAAAAGUUGCAUUUGAAAUGUGUGUGUUGAAGUGUGUAAAAAUUUUGGGUAAAGUGGUGAAAAUAAGAGUGUUUAUGUAAUUUUAUAAAAGUAUAAGUCCUUUUGUGCAAGUAGUUGAUUUACAAAAGUAACUUUCAAAAUUACUCAGGGCUAAAGUAUAAAAGGUGCAAGUCAUUAUGACAUGUCUAUCCAAUCAUUAUGACGAGCCAAUCCCGUCAUCAUGACGUGUCAUAAAUGCUUGCAUUUAGGUCCUGAAAUUUUAUGAAUUACACCUUUAGGACAAAAGUAAUUCAAAUCCAACUUUUGCUCCAAAUUUUAUGUGUAAAGAUACAAGUUUUGAGUUUUUAAACUUGAGCCCUAAAGCAAUGUUGUAGAGUUUGAAAAACUUUCCAACUUUCAUUUUGGGCAUUUCUUCAUUAGGGUUUUAGAUUAAUGUGAAAUUUAUGUUUUACAAAAAAGUCCCUGCAGUUUUUCUAAAUUGCGCAUAAGUCCUUGGGGAAUUCCAGUCCUUCUUCUCUGUUCUUCCUUUCUCUCCGCCUUAUCUUUUCACUGGCGCCUCUCUCUCUCCUUUGCUUUGGCCGGCGUCUCUUCCAGGGAGGUCCUCCCUUGCCUCCCUCCCUCUCCUUCACCAGAGCGGCGGCGGCCCCACGUGGGCGCGGCCGCGCGCGGCUCGGCGCGCGCGUAGGCGGCGCGGAAGCUGCAGCCCACGUGGAGCGGGGACGGCCCGGGCGGUGCGGCGCGGGCUGAGCAGACGCGCGCGAGAGGGCGUGCGGACGGCACGCGUGGGUAGAGGUAGCGGCUGGCGCUGGGCCGAGCGGGCGGCGCGGCUGCAGGUGGCGCGGAGCAGGCGCCGGGCGUGUGCGGGCUGGCGGCGUGCAGCGCGCAGGGCUGGGCGACCAGAGCCCAGGCGGCGCGGGCGCUGGACGGCGCAGGCGUGCGGCACGCGUGCGCGGGCGGUGCAGACGCGCGACAAGCAGGCGUGGAGGAGCGCGGCAAGGCGGCUUGGGUCCAGGCGGUGAGGGCCACGGCGUGUGGGGUGGACACGGCCCGGGCGGAGGCUGACGCAGUGCGGCACGGCUCCAGGCGGGAGCGGGCAGAGCCGGGCUCGGGCAGAACGCGCGCGGGUGCUAGCGCAGGAGCAGGCGCAAGCGCAAACAGGAGCGGCUGUGACUCGGGCACGGGAACUGGCGGCGCAGGAAUUGAAAGCCCGUCAGUGCUCGGCACUCGGUGGGCUCAGCCAGAAGGUGGAAGCACCACCGGAGGUGUCGGCGAGGCUGUCGGCGAUGGCGCAGGAGCGGAGCUCAGGGCUCGCGAUGCCGCGGUGCGACGACUCGGCGCGGACCCACAUGGGGAAAACAAUGGAGCCGCGCGUGAAAGACGUCAGAGACCAUUGAGGAGGAAGCCGCGAACGAAGUCAAGCGGCACUGUGAACUGCUCGUGGAGAACGGAGGUGGCCUGGCCUGGAUGGCAGUGGAAGGUGUGAUCCUGAUGCAGGCAGGCCUCGGUCCUCGCGGAGGCGGAGGAGUGGUUAUGGCACGGCGAGCCGGAAGGAAAGGCAGCGAAGCAAAGGCGGAGGUCCGGGCGGAAUUGGACUGGCGCGUCCGCGGGUGCGAGCGAGAGUGUUUUACCGGUGGCCGACUCGGCUCGUUUCCACAGGCAUGAGCGCGUGCAAGGCAACCGGCCACGCGCGAGCAAGUUGAGGGCCAGCGGUAUGAAAGCAGAAUGGGAGCGGUGGCUCUGCGGGUGGCUGCGCAAGCAUGCCGGCAGUGCACGCACCGGAGCAGUCAGGUUGAGGAGGGUUUCUUCGUGUGCGAGCAGGAGCGUUCGGCCGGCCAUGCUUUAGCAACACACGUGCGUGAGUGGAGGAAGUUCAACCCGUGAGCAGGAAAACCCUAAGGUUCGCGGAGGAGUUGGCAUUGCGAACCGAUCCGGCUCCAUCGUCUUGUCCCAUAAGUUCACCACGUCCAGCAGCUCUUACCCUUCACCGAUCGUCCGAGCAAAACCACAACACCUCGAAGAAGCUCCUAGACCCCCAUCGAGCCUCUUCAAUCCCUGUAUGCCGGAACAUCAUCGCCAUGGCAAAGCCAACUACCAUCACCACGGGUCACCGUGAGAAAUACCUCUCCGACCAUCUUCCACCCACCAUAAUCCCCUGACAAGCUUCUUCAUCACCCACGGAACCUCGUCACCGUCGGGCUCUUUUCAUCAUCAAUCCUAUUCACCACGGGAAUUCACUUUUCGCCUGUUCUUCUCCACAACCAAAGCUACCCCAAGGUUUGCCCUGAUUCACUGAAUCUUCUAAUGCCGGCGACUUCUUUACUGGAACAUCGUUGUUAUCUUUCUGUUCUUUGUUUUUCUCGACCAGGGACUUAAUUGCUCUGAUUUAGAAAGUGCUAGGGUGUUCUUUGUAAAAUUUCCAAAGCUUCCUUUAUUUCAAAUCAGUGCACAUCUACAAGUUUUAUGUUGUGCUUUUGAAUUGAAAGUCUUGAUUUGUGGUCUAGGUUAACUAUUAGGGAAUGAAUGCUUUAUUGUACUUUAUAUUGUAUGCUUCAGUGUCGGCUAUCAGCUCAGUCGCUAAGCAUCCGUCUCCUUUGAGUCCGUGAUGUUUCCGUGUAAUAGCUAUCAGCCAAUGCUUUUCUUUUGAUAUGCUUCUACCCUCGGCUGGUUAGUUGAUCCAGUUGUUGCCCUUCUAAUAUCGGCUACUGCCGAUAUAAUUCUUUUGUUCUGUCCUACAUCGGUUGCACGUAGUCGAUGUAUCAGAAAUGCACACAUGAUCUUAGGGUUCUUGCUAUCGGCCGAUCCAAGCCGAUUUUAGUUGCUCUCCAUAUCGGUCAAAUAGAGCUGAUCAAUCUUUAGUUUUCCCAUCUUUAUCCACACACUUCUAUCAGCCGAUUUAUCGACUGAGAGAUCGGCUAUCUAUAUCUAUCGGUCAUAUACCCUCAACCUCACUCCAAUCGGCUGUACGUCACUCUAUUAUUGUGCUGACAUAAUCAAACCGAUGCAACCACACCUAGUUACCUAGAAUAACACUUAAGCACAUCUCAAUUAAGACGCAGCUGCUUUAGGAAUCACCCCUCUGCUAAAGUAAUCGAUGCUUUCAUUGAUCAAUUAUGUGGCAGAACCAACCUGAAUUAUACCGGCUCAAGUACGCGAGUCCACUCCUGAGGGCUCCAACGUGCUUCAAACAGUAUAAUCCCUUGGCCUGUCGGGUAACGUCCUGAUAAACCACCGAUACACAGGAUCAAAUAAGGUUACCUCACACGAGGGUGAGUCCAGAGAUACAAUCACCAUCACAUUUUUACAUCACAGAGAUUUACAUUACAAGAGUUUUUAAAAGCAGUACAUUACAAACUGCUAAAGCUAUGGUUUUUGGCAGCGGAAAACAUACGUGAUGAUUACGACACGUCGUCAAGACGGAUGUCAUGCUAAGCCCGGGCACGACAUCACUCGAGAUCAUCAGUAUUGGCCGGGGUCGGAUCCCAUUCCUUGGACCAACCGUCUGGGAGAGCACAUGGCCAAGACAGGGAAAGAGUAGGGUCUUCAAGACUUUACCUGAAAAACAUAAAACUAGCAAGGCUGAGUAUACUAAUACUCAGCAAGGCUUACCCGGGAUUGGGUAUACUUUAGCCCAUAACUAGACUUAUGAAAGCUUGUAAUGGUUCCGGGUUUAUUUUCAGCUGAAAAGCAACUAAGAAUAUAACCUAUUUUCAAGUUUUAGCUUUCAGAUCCUAGUUUGAUUAGCCAUGCUAGGUAAGCACCUACACUAAACAAACAAGAUAGAGAUUAUCAUCCAUCAAAAUUGUUCCAUCAAUAAUUUCACUUUUUACUCGAUGUAGCAGAAGGGAUAAGCAGUCUCAAUCCUCGUGAGAGGCGGACGAUUCGAAUCGAAUUUAACCUUGCAAGGUAAACCUAACUCACACGCUCGAAAUACCAACAGGGCGUUCCAAGCAACCAUUUCCCUCAUAUUCCGGGUUAUGGAUCAGGGCCACCACAAGCGACUGCAGGACCGUACGCACAUCACUCGUGCAGGACAUACGUCUGUAGCGCGACUACAAAACCCGUAUUCCUGUCUGCCAUGCAGAACGUACUCCCACACGUCGGUGCGUGUAAACAUAAAAUAAAAGUCGAGUGGUGGAAGCGCGUCCAUUUGCCGGGCCAAUCGGGUACUAGGCUUACCGCUUACCAUAUUUCGCGGCAUGUGGCUAGUACUUUCAAAAGCUUAGCCACCACUACCACACAUUUCGACCUUAAGACUUUUAUCAAAACAGACAGGGUAAAACCUCAGGUCAUGAUACAACUCAUGACCCUAUCCGUCAUCCUUAUAGUGGUUGCAGAAAUGUAAACACGCAACUCCUAUAUCGCGCGAGUGACAGGAAAUCACCCGACUUUUAUCGGUCCUAUUUAGCAGAGCAUCUAAGCGAUAAGGACUCGGGUUCAAUACAUUGGAUUCCUAAGAGAUCAUACAACUAGGGUUUCAUCUCAACUCCUAGACGUAAUGCAAGAUAUAAAAUAUAAUAAUGAAAUUGUAAUAACUUGAAAUAUUGGGAUGUGCACCGGGGCUUGCCUUUACUGGUGGGGCUGAAGUUAGAAAUGUCAAUAUCUUCCGAACUUUGGUUCGGGGCUUCAGUUAAUUCCUUGGUGACGUUCACUUGAUCUUCAGGAACAUCCUCCGUAGACUCCGAGAAGAUCUUGUAGGUACUGUUGUCGAAGUAAUCGUAUCUACAUGUAAUGCAACAUCACAUUCAAGUGUGCACACAAAACUAUUUUACUUCACAACAAGGUUGCAAUUCAACACUCACUUAACAUACCACUCAUAUGUCAACCAGAAAGAUCUGAGCUAAACCUAGACAGAGCUAUAGGGGAACAACUAAUUAGAAUUGGCUACUCGUUGAAGAUUACAACAGAGCCGAUUGGAAACAACAGAGGUUUAGCCGAUGGAAAGGUGCAUCGGAUUUCUAGAUGAUCGAUGAAAGCAUCGAUUACUUUGGCAGAAGGAUGAUUCCUAAAGCAGUUGUCUUAACUGAGAUGUGCUUAAGUGUUAUCCUGGUUAUCUAGGUGUGGUUCUAUCGGCUUGAUUACGUCAGCACAUCAAUUGAGUGACGUACCACCAAUUGGAGUGUGGUUAAGGGUAUGUGACCAAUAGAUAUAUAGCCGAUUUCUCAGUCGAUAAAUCGGUUGAUAGAAGUAUGUGGAUAAAGAUAGGAAGACUAAGGAUUGAUCGGCUAUAUUUGACUGAUAUAGAAAACAACUAGAAUCGGUUUGGAUUGGCCGAUAGCAAGAAUCCUAAGAUUGUGUGUGCAUCUCCGAUAUAUUGACUAUGUGCAGCUGACGUAGGCCAGAAUAACAGAACUGUAUCGACAGUAGUUGAUACUAGAAAGGUAACAAUCGUAUCAGCUAACUAGCCGAUGGUAGAAGCAUCGACUGAUAGCUGUUACACAGGGACAUCAUCGACUCAAGGAAACGGAUGCUUAGCGGCUGAACCAAAAGCUGAUGUUGAAACGCAGCUGCAGAAAUGUAUAAGCUAAGCAACAUAUGCACAUGAAUUAACAAAGACCUUUACACGAAGAGAAACUUAAGGAAACGGCAAUCAAGACAAGAAUAACGUCUUGACGGCAAGGAUAUGAGCACCAGGAGGAUAAGAUCAACUAGAUAUCACACUCUAUAAUUUACCUUCCAGCUAUAUCACAUGCAUACAAUAUAAGGUACAAACAAAGCAUUCAUUCCCUAACAUUUAACCUAGACCACACAUCAAAGACUUUCACUCAAGAUCACAAUAUAAAACUUGUAGAUUUUGACCUAGGGUUUCAAACAAAACUGAUUUUAUACUUUUAUGAACUUCUUACGAAAAUCUAUGAAAUGUAGAAGUUCACAGAUUUGAAAUAAAGAAAGCUCUGGAAAUCUUAUAGAACAUACCCUAGAACUUUUCUAAAACAAAGCAAUUAAGUCCCUGGUCCGGGAGAAUAGGUAACAGAAUGUUAACGAUGAUAUCCCGGCAAAGGAAUCGCCGGCAUUAAGAAGAUUCAGAGAAUCAGGGCAAACCUUGGGGUAGCCUUGGUCGUGCAGAAGAACACGCGGAAAGUAAAUUCCCGCGGUGAAUAGGAUCGGCGAUAAGAUGAGCUCAACGACGACGAGAUUCCGUGGUCGACGAAGAAGUUUGCCGGGAAGGGUUGCUGUGGGUGGAAGAUGGCCGAAAGAGUAGUCUCCAUGGUGACUCGUGAUGAUGGCGGUUGAGUAAUCCACGAGGGUAAGAACUGUUGAAUGUCGUGGAUCAUGGGACGAGACGAUGGAGCCGAACAGGUUCGCUAUACCGACUUUUCCUCGAACCCCCAGGAUUUUCCUGCUCACGAGUUGAGCCGGCCACUGGUAGAACGCUUCCGCUCGUACUCGCGAACGCGCCGGUUCAGUUCCACUCGGACCUCUGGGUCCUGUAACUUUGCCGUCCUCUCCACAUGUUGUGACGCUAUCAGGGUUGACUUACCACCGCCGCCGGUCUUGCGCUGCGCGUCGAACCCGCGUCGCAUUGCUUCUGCCCUGAUCACCUUGCCGCUGUACAGCUACUCCUUCCGAAUUCGCCGCGCUAAAACCGUCGCCUUUGCUUCACCAUCUUUCCUUCCGACUCGUCGCUCCUCGUGCAUCUCACGAGUAAGCGAGCUCGUGUCCUCCCUUCCAAUCCGUCGGCCUUCGUCGUGCGUGUUCCAUUUGUGGCGGUGCCCCAGACUGGCGGCCGUUUCCUUCUUGUGCCCGCCCGCGUCGGCGCCGGUCUGAAGAUCGGGUUCCC
rnacentral:lncRNA from 1 species